rnacentral:snRNA from 1 species
GGAUGUGGAGGCCAUCUGGCUGUGGCAUCAAUCACCUCAUUGACUGUGAGGUUUGAUUCAGCUGGUUGGCUGCGCUGUGUUCCCUUCCUUCCCUACACCCACGUGCAUCCCUUCCCCCGGGAGCUGUGACAUCAGUCAAAGCAAACAACCUUUCCAGUGGAGGACGUCUAUUCAUGGUCAAGGGUAUGUGAGUAUGUGUGCUUCCCUAUUAGUGAUCUAAUAGAAUUAACCCUUUGCACUCAGAUGUCGAGUGUGGAUAAUGUCGAGUGGAUAAUGAGAAAAAAGCAAGCGAGUGCAAAGGGUUAACCCAUU